GGAUGAUCAAUGUCCCAGGUACAUGCUUCCAUCUUUAUAGCAUAUCUUUAGAAUUGUUUCCUUUUCUUCCUUAUGCACAUAUUCUCUCGGUGCUGGUCAAUCUGAUUUUUUGAUAUCCAAUGCUAGGUUUGUAGCCAGUUUGAUUUCUGAAUCACUUAUUGUUUUUUUUUUGAGCAAAAGAGGGGCCUCCCCCUCCGAUUGCAUAUAAAGAAAUCAUAUGGUCUGAUUACAAACUACUACUACUACUACCCAAAAGAAAACCGCAAGAACCAACAACCAACAUACAGGACUAGGUCUAUUACAAAACUGGAGGUACGAUGACCUACCUGCUCACAACAUGAACAUAACAUGAUCCAUGACCUAUCAGCUGAAACUAUAGGUUCUCCAUCUGCCAGCCACCAAUCCGAAGAACUCCCGGCCUCCACCCUUGCGAAGCCCUGUAGACGUCAUUUGCUACUCACUCGACUAACUUUGCUCCCAUCUUCAGCAACCUUGUUUCUGGCUCCUUUGUCUGCAAAAUUGACCAAUCAGCAAUCCACGAAAACAUCAGCCUCACAAGGAUUAAAGGAUUAUUGAUAGUUUUUCUUCCAAAUAUAAUGUCAUGUCUACAUCUCUAGAUAGUCCAAAACAUAGCAGCAACACCAACCAAAACAAAGUUUCUUAUCAUGUUUAGGGAACGAUCUGAUCCAUCUACCCAAGCAAUCAGUGAGACAAUUAGGAGUAGAAUUCAAAUCAAAAGCACAUUUCAUCAGGCUCCACAUCAACCUAGCAGCCGAACAGGUAAAAAACAAAUGGUCAAUAGACUCAUCCUGACCACAAAAGGCACAGCUCUUAUUACCUUUGCAGCCCCUUUAAAGCAAAUUCUCUUUAGUUAAAAUGUUUUUUUCUAGUCAUGAGCCACAUAAAGAUUUGAUCUUAGCUGGGAUGAAUCAAUUAUUGAUAUGAAUUUUGGAGUUAUUUUCCCCUAGGAAAUAUUUAUAUGUCUGCUUUUGCAUGUCUAGAUGAAUAUACCAGUUCCUGUAGGAGCCCUAUCACUGCGGGUGCAAUGCUGGUCAAUAAUCCUGUGUUGUUCAGGAAGCCCUGUAUCUUGGCAUUCAUGGCUCACACCCUCCUCCACAUCAUUUCAGGAAUGGAAGGGCUUGUGUGAUUUUUGGUGUACAGUACAGCGCAUUAACAGCGGCUUCUUCGAUCCAGAGCUUCCUCCAUCCAUGUGGGUGCACUGUGAUCUAACCAGCUGAUCUCUGCAGUUUUCCUAUCAUCGACCAUGAUCCAUGUUCAGGUACGAAUGAAUGUGGGUGUUGUCAUUUUUGGUGCAUCGAUCCAUCCCGCGCGGAUCUCGGUCAGGUCAUGUCGAUCAGGUCCCCUUCUGUUUCCUGCGCAGUAACAGCCAUGGGCGGUCCUCCCUGCCUGCUUUCCAACCAACGACUCCAUUUUCAGCAGCAGUGCAACAGCCAGGAACUGAAUUAAUUUUGCAGGUGGUGUGAUGGGUCACCAUGUGGAGCUCCUUUUCCCCGUGGUCCGCUUGUACUGCGUAUUUAUUUGUUUAGCUGAAGGACCAUGUUUUUCUUUUUUGAAAAGUCUAAAGGAGAAUGCUUCCUGGGUGUGGUGGUGCCUGCCAAAGCCUGCGUCGUCACUGAAGGGAGUAUCAUAUAUGCAGAUGGGAAUAUGAGCGUUGUUGUUGGACACAGGAACGAGUCUCUCUUCUCUUGCGGAUUGGUGGUUGGUGCGUGAUGAUGGAUUGGUUGGUUGGUUGGGCUUGGUCCUUGGUCCUUGGUGUGUUAGCG
rnacentral:lncRNA from 1 species